GUCUAAGGCCAUGCUACCCUGAACAAGCCCAAACCUGUCUGAUCUCAGAAGCUAAGCAGGUUUGGGCCUGGUUAGUACUUGGAUGAGAGACUAUCAGGAAGACCAGGUGAUGUAGGUG
rnacentral:rRNA from 1 species